rnacentral:lncRNA from 10 species
UGUUAAUCUGACUGGGCUGGUGGACCUAAAUAAUAAUAAUAAUAAAUCCUCCUCAACUUCUCAGUCUUUCUGAUUCCUAAAUUAUCCCGAAACAUUUCUGGUGGCCCAUACAGGGAUCAGAGAUGACAGAUUUACUGUCUCCUUUGUCUGUGGGACUAGAGCCCCAGGGCCGGGGGAGACCCAGCAUGCAAGGUGCACCCUAGGGUACCUUCACCUGGAUGGAGACCAGCUCUCCCUGCAUCCUGGCAGCCUACCCAGCAGCAAAACAGAACUGGGGAUGAGGCUACAGGACAAUACUAGCACUUCAGGAACUGCGUUACAGCUGUCACACCUUGGAUUCACCAUAGCCGACUGAAACCAGUGGCAGCAGUGACUCCCAAUGAUGACCAUUGGAUUAGCCAACAAGACCCAGAUCACCCCACCCGAAUGGGCCUACGGCGAAACCCAACCACCAGUAAGAAGGACAAUUGCCUUGCUCUGACCACACUGGAGACUGGUCAGUCUACCCAGAGCUGAAGCUUGAGAAUCCUGCAAGCUCUGCUCUAGUCACAUCCUGGAAUCUGACUAGUCCACACACAGCCGAAGCUAAG